rnacentral:rRNA from 1 species
AUUGAACGCUGGCGGCAGGCCUAACACAUGCAAGUCGAACGGUAACAGGAAGAAGCUUGCUUCUUUGCUGACGAGUGGCGGACGGGUGAGUAAUGUCUGGGAAACUGCCUGAUGGAGGGGGAUAACUACUGGAAACGGUAGCUAAUACCGCAUAACGUCGCAAGACCAAAAAGGGGGACCUUCGGGCCUCUUGCCAUCGGAUGUGCCCAGAUGGGAUUAGCUAGUAGGUGGGGUAACGGCUCACCUAGGCGACGAUCCCUAGCUGGUCUGAGAGGAUGACCAGCCACACUGGAACUGAGACACGGUCCAGACUCCUACGGGAGGCAGCAGUGGGGAAUAUUGCACAAUGGGCGCAAGCCUGAUGCAGCCAUGCCGCGUGUAUGAAGAAGGCCUUCGGGUUGUAAAGUACUUUCAGCGGGGAGGAAGGGAGUAAAGUUAAUACCUUUGCUCAUUGACGUACCCGCAGAAG